AAGUAGAGCCAUGGUCAUCCGGUAGCGUUGAGUCUUGCUACGUGGGGGCGUGUGAGUGGUGUUCGGGUUUUCUUUGCUGUCUGGCUCCAUGGUCGUGGCCAUCGAACAGUCAGCAUGCAACCCUUCUCAGUUUUCUUCGCCUUGUGUCGUUGCGGCCUCGGCGUUCGCUCGUGGUUCUUGUGUUGCCUACCCGUUUAGCGGUAUUCAUAUGCCUCUUAAGACACGUUCCAUCAGGACCCCUUCUAGGGGCUGCUGGGGAGUUCGGAAGUGAUGCAUGUUUUGCGUUAGCUAUGCAUUGUAAUGGCUUGCGUCCUCACAUGUGUCUAUUGUUCCCUCGGAUGCGGUGCAUGCGGUGAACGUGGGUGAUGAUUGAGCCCCGUUGAGCCCCUUCGAUUUAUCGGUUGCCUUGAAUGACAUUUUGCCGUAGUGCGGGUGUUGCUUUUCCAUUCGUGGUGGCAACACUCGCACGUCGAGCAGAAUUGUUGAUG
rnacentral:misc_RNA from 1 species